rnacentral:rRNA from 1 species
CAAUAGCGUAUAUUAAAGUUGUUGCGGUUAAAAAGCUCGUAGUUGGAUUUCUGCCGAGGACGUCCGGUCCGCCCUCUGGGUGAGUACAUGGCACGGCCUGGGCAUCUUCUUGGGGAACGUAUCUGCACUUGACUGUGUGGUGCGGUAUCCAGGACUUUUACUUUGAGGAAAUUAGAGUGUUUCAAGCAGGCACACGCCUUGAAUACAUUAGCAUGGAAUAAUAAGAUAGGACCUCGGUUCUAUUUUGUUGGUUUCUAGAGCUGAGGUAAUGAUUAAUAGGGAUAGUUGGGGGCAUUCGUAUUUAACUGUCAGAGGUGAAAUUCUUGGACUUGUUAAAGACGGACUACUGCGAAAGCAUUUGCCAAGGAUGUUUUCAUUGA